rnacentral:rRNA from 1 species
AGCCCUAAGAAUUUAUUUAGGGUGAUACCUGCCCAAUGAGAUAUUGAAUGGCCGCGGUACUCUGACCGUGCUAAGGUAGCAUAAUCAAUUGACUUUUAAAUGAAGUCUGGAAUGAACGGGGUAACGGAAUUAAGCUGUCUCACUCACUUAAUAAUAAGUUACUAACUAAGUGAAAAGGCUUAGAAAUGAAAAAAGACGAGAAGACCCUAAGAGUUUUUAUUUUGUUGGGGCGACAAGGGAUCUUAACAUCCUUGAUAAUGUGGCGGAUUAUGUCAGGGUAAGAUAAACUACCUUAGGGAUAACAGCAUAAUUUUUUUAAGUUUGUGACCUCGAUGUUGGACUAGGAAGCCCUUAGGCUAGCUGCUUAAGAGGGGGAUUCUGUUCGAAUUUUUACUCCU